rnacentral:tRNA from 1 species
GGUGGCUCAGUGGUAGAGUGCUUGUCUUGGAUGCAUGAGUCCCUGGGUUCGAUUCCUCAGCACCA